GACGAACGCUGGCGGCGUGCUUAACACAUGCAAGUCGAACGGAAAGGCCCUGCUUUUGUGGGGUGCUCGCGUGGCGAACGGGUGAGUAACACGUGAGUAACCUGCCCUUGACUUUGGGAUAACUUCAGGAAACUGGGGCUAAUACCGGAUAGGAGCUCCUGCUGCAUGGUGGGGGUUGGAAAGUUUCGGCGGUUGGGGCUGGACUCGCGGCUUAUCAGCUUGUUGGUGGGGUAGUGGCUUACCAAGGCUUUGACGGGUAGCCGGCCUGAGAGGGUGACCGGGCACAGUAGGACUGAGAGACGGACCAGACUCCUACGGGAGGCAGCAGUGGGAAAUAUUGCACAGUGGGCGGAAGCCUGAUGCAGCAACGCCGCGUGCGGGAUGACGGCCUUCGGGUUGUAAACCGCUUUCGCCUGUGACGAAGCGUGAGUGACGGUAAUGGGUAAAGAAGCACCGGCUAACUACGUG
rnacentral:rRNA from 1 species